rnacentral:rRNA from 1 species
UUUGAAUCUGGCGGUCUCAGGCCGUCCGAGUUGUAAUCUAGAGAGGUGUUUUCCGUGCCGGACCGUGUACAAGUCCCUUGGAACAGGGCGUCAUAGAGGGUGAGAAUCCCGUCCAUGACACGGACUACCGGUGCUCUGUGAUACACCUUCAAAGAGUCGAGUUGUUUGGGAAUGCAGCUCAAAAUGGGUGGUAAAUUCCAUCUAAAGCUAAAUACAGGCGAGAGACCGAUAGCGAACAAGUACCGUGAGGGAAAGAUGAAAAGAACUUUGGAAAGAGAGUUAAACAGUACGUGAAAUUGUUGAAAGGGAAACGCUUGAAGUCAGUCGCGUCUGCCAGGACUCAGCCUUGCUUCUGCUUGGUGCAUUUCUUGGUGGAUGGGCCAGCAUCGAUUUUGAUUGCCGGAAAAGGGCGGGAGGAAUGUGGCAGCUUUUGCUGUGUUAUAGCCUUCCGUCGUACACGGUGGUUGGGAUCGAGGAC